CAGCAGAACAACACGUGACGUCGAUGGAGGAGGACCUCUCGCCCUCCUUCCACGUGAUCGUGCCGUGUUUGUUG